UUGGAGGGCAAGUCUGGUGCCAGCAGCCGCGGUAAUUCCAGCUCCAAUAGCGUAUAUUAAAGUUGUUGCAGUUAAAAAGCUCGUAGUUGAACUUCGGGGUUUACCCAUUGGUCAGGCUUAAUUGUCUGCACUGGUGAGAUGAAUCUCUACCUUCUGAGGAACUUUCAUGCCAUUUAUUUGGUGUGAUGGGAAAUCAGGACUGUUACUUUGAAAAAAUUAGAGUGUUUAAAGCAGGCUAACGUCUGAAUACAUUAGCAUGGAAUAAUGAAAUAGGACGGACUGAUUCUAUUUCGUUGGUUUCUAGGAUCACCGUAAUGAUUAAUAGGGAUAGUUGGGGGCAUUAGUAAUCAAUUGUCAGAGGUGAAAUUCUUGGAUUUAUUGAAGACUAACUACUGCGAAAGCAUUUGCCAAGGAUGUUUUCAUUAAUCAAGAACGAAAGUUAGGGGAUCGAAGACGAUCAGAUACCGUCGUAGUCUUAACCAUAAACUAUGCCGACUAGGGAUCGGAUGAUGUUAAUUUUUUAAUGACUCAUUCGGCGCCUUACGGGAAACCAAAGUGUUUGGGUUC
rnacentral:rRNA from 1 species